rnacentral:lncRNA from 1 species
ACUGAACAAUAUUUUAUUAUAUGAAUGUAUAACAGUUCAUUUGUCCUUUUGCUUACUGACGGACAUUUGGGUUGUCCUUAUUUUGAGUAUAAAAAUGACAGGGGUGGCUGACAUUUACUGAUCAUUAGCAUGUUUCAGGACUAUUUUAGGCACUUUAUUUGUAUUAACAUAUUUAAUACCCACAAUGAUGUUAUUUGAAAGGCAAACAUUGGAGUAAUAAAAUCCAGGGUGGAUGACAGAUGUUAAAUUUAAGGUUUAUAUGAUUAUAUCAAAUCUGCUUUUUUUCACAUAGCUUAUAUAUCUGUAGAAAUGCAGGCUUUUACAUGUUUGUUUUGAUUUUUUUUUUAAAGAUUUUAAUUAUUUAUUCAUGACAGACAGAGAGAGAGAGGCAGAGACAUAGGCAGAGGGAGAAGCAGGCUUCCUGCAAGGAGCCUGAUGUGAGACUCAAUCCCAGGACCCGGGGAUCAUGCCCUGAGCCCCAGGUGACCCUUUUUUUUUUUUUUAACAUAUAUACAAUGGAAUAUUAUUUUUUUAAUUUUUAUUUAUUUGUGAUAGUCACAGAGAGAGAGAGAGAAUGAGGCAGAGACACAGGCAGAGGGAGAAGCAGGCUCCAUGCACCGGGAGCCCAACGUGGGAUUCGAUCCCGGGUCUCCAGGAUCACGCCCUGGGCCAAAGGCAGGCGCCAAACCGCUGCGCCACCUAGGGAUCCCAGGUGACCCUUUUUCAUUUUGAUUUUGAUGCUACUGAUAACAUAAAAUAUUAGUUCUAAAUAGCAAUCUUAGCUGUUAUCCAACCCAAUGCCUUCAUUUUAAAGAUAAUGGAAACCCGGCAGAUGAGUUAUCAGUAAACAUUUUAUUUAGUCUCCUUUUUUGUAAAUGAAUGGUGAUAUACUACCAAUUCAGCAAAUAUAAAUCUUUUUCUGUAUAAAAUUGUAAGCAAUAUAAUUUCUUUUCCCUUCUGGAACUAAUAUAUAUUUGACUCAGCCUUUCAUUUUGAUUAUUUAUAAGAAAACUUCUGUUAUGAAUAUAGCUUAUUGGGUAUGAGGGAUCAAAAAAUGUUAACUGCAUCACCUGAAACAUAAUGCUUUGUUAAACACUUUUAAGUAUUCUGAAAGCAGAAGGCUAGCAUCUUAUUCAUGUGUAAUCCCCUUCACCAUUAUACACUCUGGCAAAAAUUCAAGAAAUAUUAAUUAAUAUUUUUUUUAAAAUGGGAAGAAUUGCUUGAAAGAUACAUGGACUUUUUGAGACAAAUGGAUGGGUGUGUGUGUGGGUGGAUAGAUAGAUAUAUAAAUGCUUUUAAUGAUUGUGUUUUAGCAUGAUACUACAAUCACAUAAAGAUAUUUAAGAAAAAACCUUAUGAAAUUUGGUCUUGACAUUGAUAAUGAAGAUUUUGAUAAAGGUAUCAUUCAUUAUAUUACAGUUUCCUUUAUGAGAACUAUCAAAAAGAAAUUCCUUUCUUAAUAUUAAGACAUAUAUAUAUAUCUGUCAAUUAUAUUAUAUAUAAUUGAUAUAUAUUUGAUUAUAUUAUAUAUAUAAUUGAUAUAUAUAUAAUUAUAUAUAUAUAUAAAAUUGACACGUUACAUCAGUUUCAGGUGUACAACAUAGUGCUUUGACAAAUCUAUAUAUUAUGCUAUGUUUACCACAAGUAUGGCUACCAUCUUUCACCAUACAACACUAUUAUAAUACCAUUGACUAUAUUCUCUGUGCUGUACUUUUCAUCCCUGUGGCUUUUUUAUUCCAGAACUAGAAGCCUGUGUCUCCAAACCACUCCCCUUUACCCAUUUUGCUCAUUCUUCCACCCCUUCCCCUUCUGGAAACCACCACUUUUAUUCAUGUGUCUGCUUCUGCUUUUCUUGUUCACUUUUGUUUUUUAAAUUCCACAUAUAAGUGAAAUCAUAUGGCAUUUGUCUUUCUCAGACUUACUUCACUUAGCAUAGUACCCUCUAUGUCCAUCCAUGUCUUUGCAAAUGGCAAUAUCUCAUUCUUUUUAUAGAUGAGUAAUAUUCCUUUGACUCUGUUUACCACAUCUUCUUUACCCAUUUAUCUAUAGAUGGACACUUUGGUUGCUUCCUUUAUCUUGGCUACUGUAAAUAAUACUGAAUAAACAGGGAUGCGUGUAUCUUUUCAAACUAGUGUUUUCAUUUUUGUGGGUAAAUAUUCAGUAUUAGAAUUACUGGAUCUUAUGGUGUUUCAACUUUUAAUUUUGUACAAAACUCCCAUAAUGGCUGUAUCAAUUUACAUUCUCACUAAUGGUCAAUGAGAGUUCCCUUUUUCUCUGCAUCCUUGCCAACACUUUUUUUUUUUUUUUUAAUUCUAGCCAUUCUGAUAGGUAUAAGGUGAUAUCUCAUUGUGGUUUUAACAUUUCUUGAUGAUUAGUUGAUGUUGAGCAUCUUUUCAUGUCUUUGCUGGUCAUCUGUAUAUCUUUUUUGGGAAAAAGUUUAUUCAUGUCCUUGGCCUAUUUUUAAACCAUAUCUGUUUUAUUGAUGUUGAGUUGUGUAAGUUCUUAUAUAUUUUGGAUAUUUACCCCUUAUUGUAUAUAUUAUUUGCAAAUACCUUCUUUCAUUCAGUAGGCUGCCAUUUCAUUUUGGUGAUGGUUUCCUCUGCUGUGCAAAAGCUUUUGAUUUUGAUGUAGUCCAAUAGUUUAAUUUUGAUGUUUCUCUUCCCUAAGGAGACAUAUCCACAAAUAUGUUGCUAGAGUUGAGGUCAGAGAUUACUACAUAUUUUCUUCUAGGAGUCUUAUGGGUAUAGGUCUCACAAUUAGGUCUUUAAUCCAUUUUAUUUUGGGGUAUUGUGCAAGAAAGUCGUCCAGUUUCCCCAACGCCAUUUAUUGGAGACUUUUUCCAACUGAAUUCAUAGAUUAGUUGACAUAUGAGCAUGGGCUUAUAUCUGAGUUCUAUUCUGUUCCAUUGAUAUAUGUCUAUUUUUGUGCCAGUGUCAUACUGUUUUGAUUAUACAGCUUUGUAGUAUAUUUUGAAAUCUGGGAAAGUUUUGUUUUUCAAGAUUGAUAUGGCUAUUUGGGACCUUUUGUGGUCCCAUAUAUAUCUUAAUAUUAUUAAGAUAUAUAUAUCUCAUUCUAUGAAAAAUGCUGUUGGCAUUCUGAUAGAGAUUGCAUUGAAUCCGUAGAUUGCUUUGGGUAGUAUGGACGUUUUAGUAAUAUUAUUCCAAUUGGUGAGCCUGGUGUAUCUUUCCAUUUGUGUUAUCUUCACAAUUUCUUUCACCAAUGUUUAAGAGUUUUCAGAAUUCAGAUCUUCCACCUCAUUAGUUAAGCUUGUUCCUAGGUAAUUUUCGAUAGUUUUAAAUGGGAUUGUUUUCUUAAUUUCUCUUUCUUGUCAUUAGCAUACAGAAGGACAACAAAUUUCUAUAUAUUGUUUGUAUCCUGCACCUUUACUGAAUUCACUUAUUUCUAAUAGUUUUUUAGUGGAAUCUAUAGAGUUUACUGUGUUUUGUACCAGGUCAUCUGCAAAUAGUUUUCGUUCUUUCUUACCAAUUUGAAAAAAUGUGGUAAGAGUAGACACCCUUAAGAUAUAAAUAAGUUUUAUCUUACUCUAUGAACAUUGCACAACAUGUAGAUGAUGUUUGUUUCAUAUUGGCUACUCAAAAGCUUAAAUUUGUAAUCACCAGUAUAGCAGUGUAUUUCCCAUAAUAUUGUUUUCCUUUUAAUGCUGGGUUCAACAUGUAUUCCUAUUCUUGUUCAACUGAGACUUUUUGUCAUGCUAUAUAUUCUAACAGAUCACUAAUAUCCUCUUUGAAACAAAGCAGAUAAGAAAGGCAGGUAAAUAGAGAACAAGAAAGAAAGGUUGAAUAGCAGGCCUCAAAAAGGCAGAAAAUAGGUUGCAGAAGUGGGGGCUAUAAUUAAAUACGAUUACGGGGUUCUCUACUUACUUUCCAGGCUUUAAACAUGGAUUCAUAUCUAGUAAGUAAAAGAAUCAAAGGACUUCAAGUCCUUCUCAAUAAAUAAAAUUAAUUCAAAUCAGCUAUUCAAAAGCCAAAUUAGGUUAAAGGGAGAAUACUGGCUAAGAGAUAUGAACCUCAUUGUUGGGGUACUUUAUUUCUGAUCUUCCAUAAAAUCUGGGAAGACAUCAUAUACUCAGAACUCUCAUGGAUUCACUUUCACUGAGUUUUGUUACAUACUUAGAAUUUACUCAAUAAUCAUCACCAUAACUAGUCCCAUGAAAAAUCUUUGUAAUUUUAUAAAUAAUGUUCUCAAUAGUUUUAUAUUCUUUAUGUCAGAGGUCACAAAUUAGUGACCCCAACCAGAAAAUAUUUUUAAAAUCUUUUCUGAUAUUUGCCAAAAUGCUAUAAUUAUAAAAAUUUAUAGACACGUGGGCAUGCAUACUUCAUUUCAGUGACCCAUAACUACAAAAUGAACAUUGACAGAGCUAACUAGCAAUUACUCCUUUUAGGUGAGAGUGGUCCAAAGUUCCUUGGACUCUCUAGGGUCUUCAACCUGAUGCAUUUAUUUACAUUACAUUGCCUGACAGGUUCCUGUAGGUUUUUACAUUUUUAUUCUGAGGUAUAAUAAUGCCAAUGUGCAAAAUUGUUUUUGAAGUAUUUUUGUUUUUUUGUAUAGUUAAUAUAUGUUACAUUAGUUUAGCUGUACAACAUAGUGUUUCAACAUUUCUAUACGUUAUUGCUAUGCUCACCAUAAAUCUAACUACCAUUUGUCCCACACUAUUACAGGACUGUUGACUAUAUUCCCUAUGCUUUUUUACUUUAAAUUGUGACGACAAGGUAAAGUUUACCUUGUAGAGGAAAGGAGGUGCUUCUUUCCUGGCAAAAAAAAAAAAAAAAAAAAAAAAAAA